UGUGAAAGCCCAGGGCUCAACCCUGGGAUUGCAUGNGAAACUGUCGGGCUAGAGUACAGGAGAGGUAAGUGGAAUUCCUAGUGUAGCGGUGAAAUGCGUAGAUAUUAGGAAGAACACCAGUGGCGAAGGCGACUUACUGGACUGAAACUGACGCUGAGUCACGAAAGCGUGGGGAGCRAACAGGAUUAGAUACCCUGGUAGUCCACGCUGUAAACGAUGAKUGCUAGGUGUUGGGGGGAGACCCUCGGUGCCGCAGCUAACRMAAUAAGCACUCCNCCUGGGGAGUACGGUCGCAA
rnacentral:rRNA from 1 species